rnacentral:lncRNA from 1 species
AUCAUAAUUUAAUUUGCAUGUUCAUAAGGGUAAAACCACCAUCGUUUUUAGGUUAAUUGCAUGAAAUGUAAUCAAAACCUUAUGUGACUGACUUGAUAUCUAAUUCUUCCAAGGCUUAUCACUACAUUUUUGAUCAUUACAUUCUAUACAUCCUGUCCAUGAACAUUUCCCAAAAUUUAUUGAUGUAAUAUAUUCUCAGAUAUUCAAGGCACAAAAUGAUGUGCGAUUGUCAAGAAAAUUACAUAACGUUUGCAAGGUGUAGGAAUCUUAUAUCUGUUCCAAAAAUAUAACGAUGUAAUUUUUAAUGCUAUAUUUAAGAAUAAGAGUUAUCUUCCUUUGAACAGAACAGUUGUAAUAUCAACUAACAACCAAUGCAAUAUUUAAUUUUACUUCCCAC